rnacentral:tRNA from 1 species
GGGGUUGUGGCUCAGUGGUAGAGCGCUUGCCUAGCAUGCGUGAGGCACUGGGUUCGAUCCCCAGCACCA